UCCGUAGGGGGCAAGCGUUGUCCGGAUUUAUUGGGCGUAAAGAGCGUGUAGGCGGUUUGGUAGGUCCGUUGUGAAAACUCGAGGCUCAACCUCGAGACGCCGGCGGAAACCAUCAGGCUAGAGUCCGGAAGAGGAGAGUGGAAUUCCUGGUGUAGCGGUGAAAUGCGCAGAUAUCAGGAAGAACACCCGUGGCUAAGGCGGCUCUCUAGUACGGUACUGACGCUGAGACGCGAAAGCGUGGGGAGCGAACAGG
rnacentral:rRNA from 1 species